UUAAGUUCAGCGGGUAUCCCUACCUGAUCCGAGGUCAAAAAUUUAGAAUGGGGGGGUUUCGGCGGACGCGCUCACACUUCCAUCACGGUAAAAAUUACUACGCUUUGGUUGCGUGGCUCAUCGCCAUUGAAUUUCGCAGGGGAAGCUUACGCCUCCAGUGCAAGACCAACCAAUGAUAAAUCAGAGAUUGAGGUUUUUGA
rnacentral:misc_RNA from 1 species